rnacentral:rRNA from 1 species
UGGCUCAGGACUAGCGCUGGCGGUGUGUCUUAGACAUGCAAGUCGAGCGGUAUGUGCCGUUGUAGCAAUACAGUGGCACAUUUAGCGGCGAACGGGUGAGUAAUACAAGGGCAGCCAUCCCUCAGGAGGAGCACAACUCAUCGAAAGGUGGGCUAAUACUCCAUGUGCUGCGGCGGAGGCAUCUUCGCCGCAGGAAAAGGCGCCGCAAGGUGCUACCUUUGGACGGGCUCUUGUCCUAUCAGCUUGAUGGCGGGGUAACGGCCCACCAUGGCGUAGACAGGUAGCCGGCGUGAGAGCGUGACCGGCCACAGGGGAACUGAGAUACGGUCCCCACUCCUACGGGAGGCAGCAGUCUAGAAAUUUGGGCAAUGGGCGAAAGCCUGACCCAGCGACACCGCGUGGAGGAUGACGCCUUUCGGGAUGUAAACUCCUUACAGGGGGAACGAGGCCAUUGCGGAGUAACUGCCGCAAUGGUGACGGUACUCCCAGAGGAAGCCCCGGCUAACUACGUGCCAGCAUCCGCGGUGAUACGUAGGGGGCGAGCGCUGUCCGGAUUUACUGGGCGUAAAGGGUGUGUAGGCGGAUCGGCCGGUCGAUGGUGAAAGCUCACGGCUCAACCGGGAAAGUGCUGUCGAUACUACCGAUCUAGAGGGCAGGAGAGGAAGCUGAACUUCCGGUGUAGCGGUAAAAUGCGUAGAUAUCGUAAGGAACGCCAAUAGCGAAGGCAGGCUUCUGGAAUGUUCCUGACGCUGAAACACGAAAGCUAGGGGAGCAAACAGGAUUAGAUACCCUGGUAGUCCUAGCUGUAAACUAUGUACAUUAGGCGUGGGGGGUAACCCCCGUGCCGGAGCUAACGCGUUAAAUGUACCGCCUGGGGACUACGGCCGCAAGGUUGAAACUCAAAGGAAUUGACGGGGACCCGCACAAGCGGUGGAGGAUGUGGUUUAAUUCGAUGCUACGCGAAGAACCUUACCUGGGCUUGACAUGUAAGUGGUAGGGACCCGAAAGGGAACCGACUGGGGUUUUCCCCUGGAGCUUACACAGGUGCUGCAUGGCUGUCGUCAGCUCGUGCCGUGAGGUGUAUGGUUAAGUCCCGCAACGAGCGCAACCCCUGUCCUUAGUUGCAAACCAGUGAUGGUGCACUCUAAGGAGACUGCCUCCGUCAAGGAGGAGGAAGGUGGGGACAACGUCAAGUCAUCAUGGUCUUUAUGCCCAGGGCUACACACGUCCUACAGUGGCCGUCACAGUGGGUUGCUACAUCGCGAGGUGAUGCUAAUCCCAAAAAAGCGGCCAUGGUUCGGAUAGUAGGCUGCAACUCGCCUACUUGAAGAUGGAAUCGCUAGUAAUCACUGAUCAGCAUGCAGUGGUGAAUACGUUCCCGGGUCUUGUACACACCGCCCGUCACGCCAUGGGAGUUGGCAAUGCCCAAAGUCCCUCCUUGCGAGGGCCUAAGGCAGGGCCGAUGACUGGGGCGAAGUCGUAACAAGGUA